GUAAGGCCGCCUGUGCUCGCCCUCCCUGCUGUGGGGCCUGCGGGAGCCCUGGUUUUCCAGCGAGAAUUCCGUCUGCUCCUAGCCACGCCCGCCUCGCGCUCUCAACUAGUUUGACAGGCUUCUGCCGCCCUGCCUGUGAGGAAGGAAUGUGGAUCCUGGGAAUGGCUGGUUCCUUGUCACUUUGAACGAACGAGGGGGUGGGGGACAGGUAUAGACGAGCUGUGGCAGCUUAGGGGGUCUCAUGUAUCCCAGACUGGCUGUGAACUUGAUAUGUAGAUGAGGAUGACCAUGAACUCCUGAUUCUUCUACCUCCUGCUUGCCAGCAAGUAACCAACUAAGCUACAUUCUCUUGGCCAUCCUUCUGAUUUUUAAAUCACUUAAUAACAUUAAAGUCAGUUUCAGCCCCAAAAAGCAGAGACAUCCGUAGAUAUACACUGAGCUGAAAUCGGGAAUUUAGUUGAAGAGAGGGAGGAAUGAAGAGCGAAGGGGUCUGUACCAGGUUGGAGAAACCCACAGGAACAGUUGGCCUGAACAAGGGAGAGCACAUCGACCCCAGAUGCUGUCGGGGAGGCCAGUACAAGACUGAUCCAGACCCCUGAACAUGGAUGUCAAUAAAGAGGCCUCUGCACUCCAGGGAGCCUCUGGUGGUGGAUUAGUAUUUUUCCCUGGUGCAAGGGACUUUGAGAACCCAUCCCACAUGAAGGGUUACACUCAGGCCCUGGACACAUGGGGAAGGGCCCAGGACCAGCACAGGAAGAUUUGGUGGACUUUGCAGAGCUCCU
rnacentral:lncRNA from 1 species